UACGUAGGGGGCAAGCGUUGUCCGGAAUUAUUGGGCGUAAAGAGCGUGUAGGCGGUCCGGUAAGUCCGCUGUGAAAGUCCAGGGCUCAACCCUGGAAUGCCGGUGGAUACUGCCGGGCUAGAGUCCGGAAGAGGCGAGUGGAAUUCCCAGUGUAGAGGUGAAAUUCGUAGAUAUUGGGAAGAACACCGGUGGCGAAGGCGGCGACCUGGUCCGUGACUGACGCUGAGGCGCGAAAGCGUGGGGAGCAAACAGG
rnacentral:rRNA from 1 species